rnacentral:rRNA from 1 species
CCUUGACAUACUAAGAACUUUCCAGAGAUGGAUUGGUGCCUUCGGGAACUUAGAUACAGGUGCUGCAUGGCUGUCGUCAGCUCGUGUCGUGAGAUGUUGGGUUAAGUCCCGCAACGAGCGCAACCCUUUUCCUUAUUUGCCAGCGGGUCAUGCCGGGAACUUUAAGGAUACUGCCAGUGACAAACUGGAGGAAGGCGGGGACGACGUCAAGUCAUCAUGGCCCUUACGGCCAGGGCUACACACGUGCUACAAUGGUCGGUACAAAGGGUUGCUACCUCGCGAGAGGAUGCUAAUCUCAAAAAGCCGAUCGUAGUUCGGAUCGCAGUCUGCAACUCGACUGCGUGAAGUCGGAAUCGCUAGUAAUCGCGGAUCAGAAUGCCGCGGUGAAUACGUUCCCGGGCCUUGUACACACCGCCCGUCACACCAUGGGAGUUUGUUGCACCAGAAGUAGGUAGUCUAACCGCAAGGAGGACGCUUACCACGGUAUGGCCGAUGACUGGGGUGAAGUCGUAACAAGGUAGGCGUAGAUGA